UCUGAUGACAGUUAUGCUAGGUUCCUUUC
rnacentral:piRNA from 1 species